GACGAACGCUGGCGGCAGGCCUAACACAUGCAAGUCGAGCGCCCCGCAAGGGGAGCGGCGGACGGGUGAGUAACGCGUGGGAACGUGCCUCUUGCUACGGAAUAGCCUCGGGAAACUGAGAGUAAUACCGUAUGUGCCCUUCGGGGGAAAGAUUUAUCGGCAAGAGAUCGGCCCGCGUUGGAUUAGGUAGUUGGUGGGGUAAUGGCCUACCAAGCCGACGAUCCAUAGCUGGUUUGAGAGGAUGAUCAGCCACACUGGGACUGAGACACAGGCCAGACUCCUACGGGAGGCAGCAGUGGGGAAUCUUAGACAAUGGGGGAAAGCCUGAUCUAGCCAUGCCGCGUGAUCGAUGAAGGCCUUAGGGUUGUAAAGAUCUUUCAGUGGGGAAGAUAAUGACUGUACCCACAGAAGAAGCCCCGGCUAACUCCGUGCCAGCCGCCGCCGUAA
rnacentral:rRNA from 1 species